rnacentral:rRNA from 1 species
GGGUCUGCGGCCUAUCAGGUAGUAGUGGGUGUAAUGUACCUACUAGCCGACAACGGGUACGGGUUGUGAGAGCAAGAGCCCGGAGAUGGAUUCUGAGACAUGAAUCCAGGCCCUACGGGGCGCAGCAGGCGCGAAAACUUUACAAUGCGGGAAACCGUGAUAAGGGGACACCGAGUGUCAGCAUCAUAUGCUGGCUGUCCAGGUGUGUAAAAUACACCUGUUAGCAAGGGCCGGGCAAGACCGGUGCCAGCCGCCGCGGUAACACCGGCGGCCCGAGUGGUGAUCGUGAUUAUUGGGUCUAAAGGGUCCGUAGCCGGUUUGGUCAGUCCUCCGGGAAAUCUGAUAGCUCAACUAUUAGGCUAUCGGGGGAUACUACCAGACUUGGAACCGGGAGAGGUAAGAGGUACUACAGGGGUAGGAGUGAAAUCCUAUAAUCCCGGGAGGACCACC